rnacentral:rRNA from 1 species
UACGUAGGGUGCGAGCGUUAAUCGGAAUUACUGGGCGUAAAGCGUGCGCAGGCGGUUCGUUGUGUCGGCGGUGAAAGCCCCGGGCUUAACCUGGGAAUGGCCGUUGAAACUGGCGAACUGGAGUGUGGCAGAGGGGGGUGGAAUUCCGCGUGUAGCAGUGAAAUGCGUAGAUAUCAGGAGGAACACCGAUGGCGAAGGCAGGUCUCUGGAACGCAACUGACGCUGAGACGCGAAAGCGUGGGGAGCAAACAGG